ensembl:lncRNA
GGAGAGUUUAAUAGAGUUUGACCUCAGCAGUUCUAACCUCUAGUACAGAGAGUUUUAAUUCUUUGCCAUCAGUCUUGGGAAGGGUCACCCUGCUCCGCUCAGAGACACCUUGCUACCUCCGCAUUCUUCAUCACUGGGGAGGAGAAACAGCUCCAGUGGCGAGUCCGCUUGCUUGGUGCCUUGGGUACUUAUUUCUGUAAAAACUCAACAAGAAGGGAUAGCACGGUUAAGGCCGAGUUCAUAUGGCAAGAGUCCCAGUUCAUUUCAUUGCGGUUCUGGUCUUCUCUCCUGGCUUUCCCCCUGCAAUCAGCAGGGUCUUGGUUGUGUUUCUAUACCCUUGAUCUCUCUGGGUCAGACCCCAGCUCACCACACAGCUGGGUUGGUGGUGAGAACCUAGGUGGGCCCCUUACUGUGGCCAUGAGGCCUCGGACGCACGGAUCUUCUUAACUCCAGCUGCAUAUUGCUGUGCGUGCGCGCAUGCUCAGUUGCUUCAGUCAUGACUGGCUCUUUGCGACCCUAUGGACAGUAGCCCGCCAGGCUCCUCUGUCCAUGGGAUUCUCCAGGCAAGAAUACCAGAGUGGAUUCCCAGGCCCUCCUCCAGGGGAUCUUCCCACGGACGGAACUUGCAUCUCCUAUAUCUCCUGCAUUGCAGCUGGAAAAUUGCUAUUUGUUUUGGGCUGCGUUCAGUGAGCUGUGAACUGCCCCAGGAUUAAUUAAACCUGCCUGUUCAUCAUCUAUCGGUGUAUCAGCUGUUAGUGAUAAGAGGCCCUUGAGAAGUUGAGGAGAACGAUGGGUGAGCAAAGCAGAUGGGCAAGUGCAAGGGAAGCCUCAAAACCCAAGACUAAAGCAAAGAACAUUCUCCCUGUGUGGCAACUGGACACUGAACAUGGACUCUGGAGGGAGGUGGACAUGGCUAGCAGGUACCAGUUCGUAGUUGCGGCACGCGGGAUCCUCAGUCUUCAUGGUGUAUGCAGGAUCUUGAGUUGUGGCUUGUGAACUCUUCACUGGGGCAUGUGGGAUCUGGUUCCCUCACCAGGGAUGGAACCCAGGUCCCUCCCGUGCAUCGAGAAUAUGGAGCUUUAGCCACUGAGCCACCAGGGAAGUCCUAUUCCUAUUUUGCAGAUGAGGAAACUAAGUAUGAAGGAGGUUGACUCACUGUCAUCCUAUUUGAACUUUUUCCUCUUCACUAUAUUAAACAGGGCCUGCCAGGUUGAAAGGCAGCAUCAACACGAUUGACAGCUGAAACCCGACCCUCUGCACCACACCCAGAAGCCCCUGGACAACUUCCGGCUGCCCCAGGGUGAGGAGGGAGCUUGUGGCCCUACUCAGUGCUGGACAGGCAGGGGGAAAGCUGGACCAUCUUUGCAGUUCAGAUCAUCACCUGGAAGGGUCUGUGGCAUCGUGCCCUGGCCUCGCAUCACAAAGGUCUUUGCGCGAUGUUCUGGCUUCCAGGCUGUGUGGCUAAGUGUCGGGAAAUGAAGGCACAUGGAGGCCGAAGGAGGGUCUCACGGCUGCUCUGAGUUCCAGCAGCUGAGAAGCCUGUGGCUGGUGGCCUUGCCUGAUGGCCCUUUAUGAUGUCAUAGUCUGGCCCAUGUUAGACUCUCCACAAAUGUUAUUGGAUGGAUAGAUGGAUGGACAGAUGGUAUUACUUAAACCAAGCAGCUGUACUCUCUCUUGCUUGAUAAGUGAUUAAUAAAAUAAGACAUUCCCAGUCUUUCUUUUUAUUAAUAAGUCAAAAAGGGAAAGGUGAAAGUGCAUAUAUAUGUAUGUAUAACUGAUUCACUUUGCUGCACAUCUGAAACUAACAGCAUUGUAAGUCAACUAUAUACCAGUAUAAGAUUAAAAGAAGGAAAGUUGAAUGUAUGCAAAUGUGUGGGAGUAUAUACAUGUGGGAGAGUGUAUAAGUAUGUAUGUGAGUGUGUGUGUGUGUGUGCUUUUGUGUGAACACAUGUACCUGCCUAAGUACUUGUGACUCUGGGUACAUGUGAUUGUGUGUACAUAUAUGUGAGAGUGUCCUUGGGUGUGUCUGUGUAUGGGGUGUGUGAGUGUGAGUUUGUGAAUGUCUGAGCGUGAGGAUAUGCACGACAGUCACCUACACACGAACCUUCAAACUGCAAACUUUGAAAGAUACGAAUGUGCAUCUAGUUCCAGCAAGGAGCCAGAACCCAUGCCGUCAGCAUCAGGCGUGAGUGAACUCUUAGCUUGCCCUCCGUCUCCUGUUGCUGACGGCCCUUCAGCUCUACCGUCUCCCACCUCCUCUCCCUCCUCCAUCAGGAACUCUUCUGGCCUGUUCACUCCGUGCCAGCCCCUGUGUGCCAGCUAUUGUACUGUGCUUUACUUUCAUAGGUCCUCUAAGAUUAAAAAUGUUUUCCUAAUUUUCUGUUUGUUUUUUAUGAAUUAUUUAUGUGAAAAGUAUUAUAAACCUAUUGC